UCCACAGAGAAAAUUUGCUCCCCAUCAAAUUCGUGCGUGAACUGCCCAGAAGCAUCGUAAGACUGGUAGAAGGCUGGUCCGUAGGAGCCCAUGUGGUCGGCUGUACUGGGUAAAGAAGCAAAGAGCCUGGAUGAGAAGGUGGAGGACGGAGGCCAUGCGUCACCACCUGUCAUUUCAUCCUCCGAGAAAGGGGCUUCAGGAAGGAUCAGGGAGGCCUCAGAGCAUCCAGCUGAAAGAAGGAACCUGAUUUUCCCUGUAGGUCCCUCGGGACAGAUUUGGGGUAAAAAUAUGAAAUAAAACACACUAAGAGAC